CCCGACUCCUACGGGAGGCAGCAGUGGGGAAUAUUGCGCACUGGGCGAAAGCCUGCCGCAGCGACGCCGCUUGAGGGAUUACGGUCUUCGGAUCGUCCCCCUCUGUCCGCCUUUAAGAACGGUCCCUGUGCUAAUCCUCAUUGAAUUGACUUUCCCUGCAAAGUCCUCCCCGGCUAACUCCUUGCCAGCAGCCUCGGUAAUACGGCGGGUUCGAGCGUUAAUCGGAAUUACUGGGCGUAAAGCGCUCGUAGGCGGGAUGGCAAGUCAAGGGGGAAAUCCCCGCGCGCAACGUGGGAACUGCCUUUGAAACUGGCAAACUGGAGUGUGUGAGAGGAGAGUGGAAUUCCAGGUGUAGGAGUGAAAUCCGUAGAUAGAUGGAGGAACAUCAGUGGCGAAGGCGACGAUCUGGCACAUAACUGACGCUGAGGAGCGAAAGCGUGGGUAGCAAACAGGAUUAGAUACCCCGGUAGUA
rnacentral:rRNA from 1 species